AAUAAGUGCAGUUUUGCACUAUUUAUCUCCAACGAUUGAUCGUUCGUCUUAUUUAAAAAAGUUUUAUGAUUGAUAUUUUUGUUGUUAUUAGAUGACAAAAUAUGAAUGGUACUUUAUGUGUGACUAAAUUUUUUAAAAUUUUUUAUAAAUUUUUUAAAUAAGACGAACGGUCAAAAGUUGAACACGGAUUUUUAUGACUGCACUUAUU
rfam:Oryza sativa Japonica Group DNA, chromosome 3, cultivar: Nipponbare, complete sequence.